rnacentral:rRNA from 1 species
AGAUAUGUGUAAUUACACCAUGCAGAGGAUGGCUGGGCUCGGGCAACCGAAGGACCGUGGCAAGCUGCGAUAAGCUGAGGGUAGGCGCAUGCGGCCUUUGAACCUCAGAUAGUCCUGUGCUCCGUAAGGAGCGAAGACGCGGUGAAUUGAAACAUCUUAGUAGCCGCUGGAAGAGAAAUCAAUUGAGAUGCUGUUAGUAAAGGCGAUUGAACGCAGCAAAGGGCAAACCGAAUCCGCGCAAGUAAUUGUGCGGGAAUGUGGUGCGUCAUUUAUCCAGUGCGGGAGCAGAAGUCUGCUGGAAAGCAGUGCCAUAGAGAGUGAAAGCCUCGUAUGUGCAUCGCAUUGGAAUUAGGCGCGAACGAGUAGCGCCCCCUGAGUACUGGGCGCGAAUACGGGGGUAUCGACCUCCAACCCUAAACAUACCCCGAGACCGAUAGCGAAUUAGUAGCGCGAGCGAAAGUUGAAAAGGAGCCCGGAAGGGUUUUGAAAAGAGCCUGAAACUGCAUGGUUACGAGAUUGGUAUGGCGCGAAAGGAAUGAUGCGCGUGGAAGGACUGGGUGGCAACGCCUAGUGCGACAUGCGCGGAUCAGUGUCACAUCGUUCUUCUCGAAGCAAGAGCCAAGGAGUAUACGGAAGUGGCGAGCCGCAAGGCGUAGCGAAAGCAAAAGCGCGCACCGCAAGGGAGGCGCAUCGUUCGAAAGAGCGACAAGUCACUUCCGUGUGACCCGAAGCCAAUGUGAUCUACUCGUGGGCAGGGCGAAGCCGACUUUCCAGUUGGUGGAGGCCCGCAACCGGUGCUAGUAUAUUCUGCUCGGGUGACCUGCGAGUAGGGGUGAAAGUCCAGUCGAACUUGGCGAUAUCGGGUCCCCCUCGAAUAAUCCUUAGGAUUACCUCGCUGGAGGUUGGUGAUGGGGUAGAGCACUGAUUCGUCGGAACGGAGCCGAAAGGCUCUGCCGACAUGUCAAACUCCGAAUCCAUCAUCGCCGUAGAAGGCGGGAGUAGGCUGCCCUGGGUAAGCUAGGGCAACGGGACGGGAACGACCGAGACUUGGGUUAAGGCCCCUAAAGCCUGGCUAAGUGUUAAUCUAAAGGAGUAUCCAUUCCAAAACAGCCGGAAGGUAGGCUCAGAAGCAGCCAUCCUCUAAACAACGCGUAAUAGCGGACCGGUCGAGAAUGCGUACUUUGAAGAUGAUCGGGACUAAGCCAGGUGCCGAGACCCGAGAGGAAGCGCUGCGCGCUUCAUCUGGUAGGGGGGCGACGGGCAAGGGUAGAAGUCGGGCCGUGAGGUCCGAUGGACCUAGCUCGUAUGAAUAUCUUGGUGUAAGUAACAGCAAAUACGGGUGAGAAUCCCGUACGCCGCAUAGCACACGGGUUUCUCGGCAACGUUUGUCAGCCGAGAGUAAGCCGAUCCUAAGGCUCCAGCUAAUUACUCGGGGCCAAAUGGGAAACAGGUUAAGAUUCCUGUGCCUUGCUGGUAGGUGCCGAAAGGCGCGUCCAUUUUCUAACACUUGGGGAUAGGCCGGGUUGGGGAGACCUUACCGGCUGUCCGAAGGCCGUGGAGACUCGUUAUGAGGAGAAGCGGUUGAAGGGCGGUCGGCAUGGCAACAUGUCCGGUUGACUCCUUGAGUCCGUGAAACAACCCUUUUUUCGACGUUUCGAAAAAAGCGUUGACGGAAAAACGGGUUGCAUGAAAAAGAGAUGGAAACGAUCCAGUAAGUUCGUACCUAGAACUAUUACAGGUGCUGCUGGCAGAAAAAGCCAAGGCGUGUCAGGAGAACUCAGGUAAGGGAACUCGGCAAAUUGGUAGCAUAAGUUAGCAAUAUGCUAUGCCUGCGUUUGUGCCGCAAGGUGCAUCCGCAGGUCGCAGUGACCAGGGGAGGUCGACUGUUUAUCAAAAACACAGCUCCCUGCAAAGUCGUAAGGCCUAGUAUAGGGGGCGAUGCCUGCUCACUACCGGUACGUCAAACUCUGUUUCAACGGAGCAAAGCGCCGGCAAAGAGCGGGGGUAACUCUGACCCUCUUAAGGUAGCGUAAUACCUCGCCGCUUAAUUGGUGGCUUGCAUGAAGGGCAUAACGAGCUUCCCACUGUCCCUACCUGGGACCUGGUGAAAUCACUACUCUGUGAAAAUGCAGAGGACUUCCAAGGGGAAACGAAGACCCCGUGGAGCUUUACUAUAGCCUGUUGUUGAGACGUGAUGUCCGCUGCGGAGCGUAAAUGGGAGCCGUCAUGCCGCGCCUUCUGGGGCGCGUAUAGGCGAAAUUGUAACACCAUUCGGCGGUUGUUACGUCUCUAACCCAAAAGGGACAACGGCAGGUGGAUAGUUUGACUGGGGCGGUACGCCCUCGAUAAGGAAACAAGGGCGCCCAAUGCUCUGCUUAGCUGGGUCAGAAAUCCAGCGUGAAGGGUUAAAGACAAAUGCAGGGCUGACUGUAUCCUUAAUAGCGUGGGAUGCAGAGACGAAAGUCGGGCUUAACGAACCUUGAUACCCUUUUGAUGAGGGUUCAAGCUGUCAGACAAGCUACCCCGGGGGUAACAGGCUCGUCGCGGGCGAGAGACGGAAAUUUUCCGGUUUUUUCGCAUGCGCUGCGCGCCAAGACCCAUUAGUUUUUCCGAAGUCAAUGUAAAUCAGAGACUAUAGAGACUACAGAAUUAAACCACAGCAUUCGAUGGAAGCUGAGGCCAUAAUGGGCCUUGGCUCGUGUAGAAAAGGGGUUAAGCCCCUUUUAGACCCCUCCUACGGGAGGGAGCGCGGUUCGGUUUAUGGGAAAUUUCGGCUCAAAUACCCAUCGACCCCGCGGUUUGGUACAUCGCUGUCGGCUUAGGUCAUCCUGGCGGUGCAGGAGCCGCCAAUGGUUGGGUUGUUCAUCCAUUAAAGACCUACACGAGCUGGGUUCAGAACGUCGCGAGACAGUUCGGUAGUAUCUCUUGGAAGUGUUGUUGCUUGAGAGCAAGAUCCCUUAAGUACGAGAGGAACUUGGGGUCGGCGCCUCUGGUGUACCGGUUGUGUCAAGCAUUGCCGGGCAGCUACGCGCUGAAGGAUAAGACCUGAACGCAACUAAGGUCGAAGCCUUUCUCAAAACGAGGCAACAUGGCGAGGGAAAUAGACCCUCUUGAUAGAGCAGGGGUGUAAAGGCUUAGCUCACGCGAGGCCGUCAGCCCGCUGCCACUAACGCCUUAACCAUAUUUGA